rnacentral:rRNA from 1 species
AUUGAACGCUGGCGGCAGGCCUAACACAUGCACGUCGAGCGAGCGGCGGACGGGUGAGUACUGUCUGGUAAACUGCCUGAUGGAGGGGGAUAACUACUGGAAACGGUAGCUAAUACCGCAUACCAUCAGAUGUGCCCAGAUGGGAUUAGCUAGUAGGUGGGGUAACGGCUCACCUAGGCGACGAUCCCUAGCUGGUCUGAGAGGAUGACCAGCCACACUGGAACGGAGACAAGGUCCAGACUCCUACGGGAGGCAGCAGUGGGGAAUAUUGCACAAUGGGCGCAAGCAUGAUGCAGCAAUGCCGCGUGGGUGAAGAAGGCCUUCGGGUUGUAAAGCACUUUCAGCGGGGAGGCGUUACCCGCAGAAGAAGCACCGGCUAACUACGUGCCAGCAGCCGCGGUAAUUC